rnacentral:lncRNA from 1 species
AAAGGGGAAAAUCCCCCCUGCGCCCCCCUGCUCCUGGCGGAGAUAAGGCGCUGCUGCUCUCAGGCGAGCCAAACCCCAGAGAAGGGCUGUUUACCUCACCCCUCUCCGGGAGGAAAGGUCACUCCUGCUCUCGGAGGAGCUGCAGCAGCAAUUUCCUCCUGGCAGCCUGCACCUCUGGCCCCGUCCCCCUUUGGGGACGCUGUUAACCCUGUCCCUGCCGGAACGCUGCUGCUCCUGCCAAGGGAUGCUCAGGGGGUGAGGCAAGGGUCACUUGUUCCUGCAAGCUACAGGGGAAGGGUCCUGCCACCUGCAGGAAGAGUCUUUGCUUUCCUCUUGUCCCCUCCUCGGCUUUACUUAUUUAUUAGCUGGGUGGUGGGUGCUGGUGCAGCAUCUCAACGUCUCAGCUGGGUGGUGGGUGCUGGUCCAGCAGCUCCAAGGUCUCAGCUGGGUGGUGGGUGCUGGUGCAGCAGCUCCAAGGUCUCUCUGGUGGAUGGUGGGUGCAGGGCUGAACCCUCCUGGCUGCAGUGACACCCCUAAGCUUGGGGC